UACGGAGGAUGCAAGCGUUAUCCGGAAUGAUUGGGCGUAAAGCGUCCGCAGGUGGCUGUGUAAGUCUGCUGUCAAAGAGCGAAGCUCAACUUCGUAAAGGCAGUGGAAACUACACGGCUAGAGUGCGUUCGGGGCAGAGGGAAUUCCUAGUGUAGCGGUGAAAUGCGCAGAUAUUAGGAAGAACACCGGUGGCGAAGGCGGCUCUCUGGAACGGUACUGACGCUGAGACGCGAAAGCGUGGGGAGCGAACAGG
rnacentral:rRNA from 1 species